rnacentral:misc_RNA from 1 species
GGUGCGGCGGCGACCGCACGCACACCGUGUCAACAGCACCCUUAUCGUCAAGCAAGUCGGAUCUGUAAGAGAGUCUCUCGCAGUGUCGCUCCCUGUCCGUUGCGCGAAACGAUUCAUCGGGAGCGCAUGAGUGCCAGUGCGGCGAUCGCCCGGCUUCUCGGCGCCGCCUCUCUUGCUCUCUUCGGCGUCACCGCCUACUGGGCCUACAGCACGCAGGCAAGCAAGCGCACACAGCUUGUGGUGCAGCCUGGCCGCUCUCUCGUCACGACUGCCAACGCUACACCGUCAAUCGUGAGCGCAGGCAGCGACAGCAGCAGCCAGGGAUCUGUGAGAGGUGAUGCCGCGCUGGCGUUUCCUGUCGUGCUGCCGCCUCACACGCCACCCGCCCAGGCCUCCACGCUCACCGCCGACUUCUUGCAGCAGUGCAACGAGGCAGCGGCGCACGGGCUGCCGUCCACUGCCGAGGUGCGCUGCUACGGCGGCUACCUCGCCAGCCUCAACUACGAGCGCCGCAUCCCAAACUGGGUGAUGGAGGUGGUUGACUACCGCAAGCUGCACUCCGGGCGCCGACCCUCCUCCCCGGCAGCCGCCGCCGCUAACAGAGACGACGACGCCGCGCAGGCUGCAGACGACGAGGGGAGCGACGGCAGCCGCGGUGGUGGCGACGUCUCGCGCAACCGCAGCAACUUCUACGCCGACGACACCGUCCCCGCGGCCUUCCGCGUCGGACCCAACAGCUACACGUCACGCGGCAUGAGUCGCGGCCACCUCGCCGCCGCGCAGUUGCACAAGGCCUCGCAGGCGGAGAUGGAUGCGACCUUCAACAUGAACGCGAACAUCGUGCCGCAGGACAUGACGCUGAACGCGGUGGAUUGGCUGCGGCUGGAGGGCCUGACGCGCAAGCUGAGCAAGGAGGUAAGCGUCGGGCUGCAGCAGCAGCAGCCUGGCCGUGUCCGGCAACGCGGCGACAGCCCACCAGCAGGGAAUACCGCCAAGGCGGAAGACGCGGGUAGCAGUGGCAAGCUGUACGUCGUGACCGGCCCCGCGUUCGUCCCCCGACUCAUGCGUGUGGAGCACCGUCCGGACGGCACCGAAGUCCAUGUGCCGCUGUCCUCAGCGGACGCGAACGCGGCGCCGUGGAAGAGCGCAGCUCCAGUGAAGCUGAUGAUGACGUACGAGCUCACCGGUCACCCCGCGCGUGGCACCCCCGUCGCUGUGCCGAGCCAUCUGUUCAAGGUGUUUCUGGCGGAGGAGAACGGCGGCCGGUCACACUCGGUGGCGGCGUUCAUGAUGCCCAACGGGCCAAUCAUAGAGGAGCUGCCCCUCACCGCGUACCAGGUGCCGAUCGAGCGACUGCAGCGUAUCACGGGGCUUCAGUUUUUUCCAGGCAUGGACGCGACGCGCUUGCCUGACCUCUGCAAGACGCACAAGUGCGACGCACGGCCGUCCGCGCUCUUCCAGCGGUAUCGGCAGGUGGCCCAGCUGCGGGCGGCCGACAGCGUGCCUCAGCUGCGGCAGACCUACGCGGCCCUGCAGGCCUCCGCGGCGGGCGGGAAGCUUGACGAGGCCGUCGUGCACGAGUUCCAGAACCGCAUGGAGGAGCUUGUCGCGGCGGCUGUGGGGCUGAUCGACCAGGCAGAGCGACGCUGAGGUUGGGGUUGCCCUCGUUGCUGUUCACUGGAGCAGCACAACGCCAUCACUUGUGUGCGUAUCGAACGGAAAGCACCUCGCUACACCUCGACACACAAGCCAACCCCAGUGUUGAAGAGCAAGGUGCGAUGGAAUUUGGCUCACGCAUGGCGGCAGACGCCCGCACAUUAAAAGCGGAAGAGAGG